rnacentral:rRNA from 1 species
AGUGAACGCUGGCGGUAGGCCUAACACAUGCAAGUCGAACGGCAGCACAGUAAGAGCUUGCUCUUACGGGUGGCGAGUGGCGGACGGGUGAGGAAUACAUCGGAAUCUACUUUUUCGUGGGGGAUAACGUAGGGAAACUUACGCUAAUACCGCAUACGACCUACGGGUGAAAGCAGGGGAUCUUCGGACCUUGCGCGAUUGAAUGAGCCGAUGUCGGAUUAGCUAGUUGGCGGGGUAGAGGCCCACCAAGGCGACGAUCCGUAGCUGGUCUGAGAGGAUGAUCAGCCACACUGGAACUGAGACACGGUCCAGACUCCUACGGGAGGCAUCAGUGGGGAAUAUUGGACAAUGGGCGCAAGCCUGAUCCAGCCAUACCGCGUGGGUGAAGAAGGCCUUCGGGUUGUAAAGCCCUUUUGUUGGGAAAGAAAAGCAGCAGGUUAAUACCCCGCUGUUCUGACGGUACCCAAAGAAUAAGCACCGGCUAACUUCGUG